rnacentral:rRNA from 1 species
CACGUAGGGGGCGAGCGUUGUCCGGAUUUAUUGGGCGUAAAGAGCUCGUAGGUGGCUUAGUAAGUCGGGUGUGAAACCUCCAGGCUCAACCUGGAGACGCCACCCGAUACUGCUAUAGCUUGAGUCCGGUAGGGGAGCGUGGAAUUCCUGGUGUAGCGGUGAAAUGCGCAGAUAUCAGGAGGAACACCAGCGGUGAAGGCGGCGCUCUGGGCCGGUACUGACACUGAGGAGCGAAAGCGUGGGGAGCAAACAGG